AGUGGAUGGGGAGCAACCUAGUUGUGCGUGUGUAAAGGUAGUGCCAAGAAAAGCGAUGAUCAUGUUGAAAAUCAAUUCCCGGUACCCGAAACCGACACAGGUGGGCAAGUAGAGAAUACUAAGGGGCGCGAGGUAACCCUCUCCAAGGAACUCGGCAAAAUGACCCCGUAACUUAGGGAGAAGGGGUGCCACCGAGAGGUGGUCGCAGUGAAGAGGCCCAGGCGACUGUUUAGCAAAAACAUAGGUCUCUGCAAACUCGAAAGAGGAGGUAUAGGGGCUGACGCCUGCCCAGUGCCGGAAGGUUAAAGAAGUUGGUCAGUUUUAGGAUGAAGCUAGCGACUGAAGCCCCGGUGAACGGCGGCCGUAACUAUAACGGUCCUAAGGUAGCGAAAUUCCUUGUCGGGUAAGUUCCGACCCGCACGAAAGGCGUAACGAUCUGGGCGCUGUCUCGGAGAGAGGCUCGGCGAAAUAGGAUUGUCUGUGAAGAUACGGACUACCUGCAUUUGGACAGAAAGACCCUAUGAAGCUUUACUAUAGCUUGGAAUUGUGUUCGGGCUUCCUGUGCGCAGGAUAGGUGGGAGGCGUAGAAGGUAUUCUUGUGGGGAUACUGGAGCCAACGGUGAGAUACCACUCUCAGGAGGCUAGAAUUCUAACUUAAUUAAGGACAGUUUCAGGUGUAGUUUGACUGGGGCGGUCGCCUCCAAAAAGGUAACGGAGGCGUACAAAGGUUCCCUCAGACUGGUUGGAAAUCAGUCGAAGAGUGCAAAGGCAGAAGGGAGCUUGACUGCGAGAAGUACAGUUCGAGCAGGGUGGAAACACGGUCUUAGUGAUCCGACGGUGCUGUGUGGAAGGGCCGUCGCUCAACGGAUAAAAGUUACUCUAAGGAUAACAGGCUGAUCUCCCCCAAGAGUUCACAUCGACGGGGAGGUUUGGCACCUCGAUGUCGGCUCAUCGCAACCUGGGGCGGAAGUACGUCCCAAGGGUUGGGCUGUUCGCCCAUUAAAGCGGUACGUGAGCUGGGUUCAGAACGUCGUGAGACAGUUCGGUCCAUAUCCGAUGUAGGCGUGAGAAUAUUGAGAGGAGCCUUCCUUAGUACGAGAGGACCGGGAAGGACGCACCGCUGGUGUACCUGUUAUGAUGCCAAUUGUAAACGCAGGGUAGCCAAGUGCGGAGAGGAUAACCGCUGAAAGCAUCUAAGUGGGAAGCCCACCUCAAGAUGAGUAUUCUGGUGUAAGGUCACGGGAAGACGACCCGUAAAUAGGCACGAGGUGGAAGUGCAGAGAUGUAUGAAGCCGAAGUGUACUAAUAGACCGUCGGCUUGACC
rnacentral:rRNA from 1 species